UCUUAUGGAUAAGCAAAGAAAGUGGUUUCUGGAGAUGGAAUCUACUUCUGGUAAAGAUAGUGUGAA
rnacentral:pre_miRNA from 1 species